CUGUUGUAUGAUGGGAGAGAAGGUUGGCAGUCCCCUUGACAAGGUUGUAAAUAGCAGUGCCUGGCUUCU
rnacentral:ncRNA from 1 species